CCUACGGGAGGCAGCAGUGGGGAAUAUUGGACAAUGGGCGCAAGCCUGAUCCAGCAACGCCGCGUGUGUGAAGAAGGUCUUCGGAUUGUAAAGCACUUUCGACAGGGACGAUGAUGACGGUACCUGUAGAAGAAGCCCCGGCUAACUUCGUGCCAGCAGCCGCGGUAAUACGAAGGGGGCUAGCGUUGCUCGGAAUUACUGGGCGUAAAGGGCGCGUAGGCGGCGUGAUCAGUCAGGCGUGAAAUUCCUGGGCUUAACCUGGGGGCUGCGCUUGAUACGGUCGUGCUAGAGGGCAGAAGAGGGUCGUGGAAUUCCCAGUGUAGAGGUGAAAUUCGUAGAUAUUGGGAAGAACACCGGUGGCGAAGGCGGCGACCUGGUCUGUUACUGACGCCGAGGCGCGAAAGCGUGGGGAGCAAACAGGAUUAGAUACCCUGGUAGUCCACGCUGUAAACGAUGUGCGCUGGAGUGUUGGGUGGUACCGUACGUACACUCAGUGUCGUAGUCUACGACGGUAGCGCGACCGCCGUCGGGAGGUACGGCCGCGACGGUUAGUAAACGUUAAAUAGAAGUUAGACGGCGUGAGACGUGCCGACGGACGACGACGAGGGAGGUAGG
rnacentral:rRNA from 1 species